UCAUGUAUUAGCUACUAUAAAUCAAAUGUACAAGUACAAUUAUGUAAAAUGCGUGUAUAAAAGUACAGUUGUGUAACAUUCAGUUAACACGGACUGACCAUAACCAUACACACACAUCAACACACACUCACUAAAUCCACGGCAUCCAUUUGAGUAUUUUUAGUAUCUGCUUUCAAUGCCAAAGGAUUUAAAGUCACUAACUAGGUGGUAAAUCCUCAACAGAGCACAAGACGCACUUGAGAAGCAGGUCCUCUGAGCAGAUCUGGACCUCAAGACAUCACUCAAGACAUCAAGGGAACCUACAGCAUGAAGCCCAGGAGGCGUCUGACCUCUGUGGAUCUCCUCCCUACGAUUCUGGAGCUCCAGGAGAGCCAGAGUCUGGAGGACUACAUAGACUCCAUACGAGAGCUGUCCCAACCCAGCUACCCUCUCAGCGGACCCCUCCGGGGCUCCCGUCUGUCCCCGUUGCGCAUGGCUAAGCAACGCAGCAUGUCUUUGGCCACCACAGGUUCUGUCCUGGCACACAAGCCCUGGGUUCUCUCUGGACCUGACAACGUAUCACUAACCUUGACAGACUCGAAGGGUCCGACGAGAUCGAAUCAGGACCCUCUGGACUGGCUUUUUGCACAAGCACAGACCGACCCGGAAGAUGUGUGCAUGAUAUGAUGGAGACAAAAAUGAUGAAGUCCCAGCCUCAGGAAUAUGCUGCUAUAAUCAUAAAAGUUGCAAUUAUUUUUAUUUUUAGUAUAUUAAGUUGAGUAUUUUUUUAAAUACUAUAUAUAUAUGUGUGUUUGUGUGUGUGUGUGUGAAGUUUUGUAGUUUUUUUUGUUCAAAUUUUAUUAUUUAAUAUUAUGUUUAACAAAUGUAAAUGUGUUGAAUGAACCGAAGACUAUACUGAUGCAUGUGAAAUAAAACUAUUUGCAGCUUUGCAUUUGAA